AAGCCGCAAUCUGUGGUUUCCCAGCCAUCUCUAAUGCAGCUCAUCAUGGUUUUUGAUGAACGGUUGCAAGCCCGUGGAAAUGCAGAGCAGAGA
rnacentral:ribozyme from 1 species